GAUGAACGCUGGCGGCGUGCCUAAUACAUGCAAGUCGAGCGAACAGACGAGGAGCUUGCUCCUCUGACGUUAGCGGCGGACGGGUGAGUAACACGUGGAUAACCUACCUAUAAGACUGGGAUAACUUCGGGAAACCGGAGCUAAUACCGGAUAACAUGUUGAACCGCAUGGUUCAACAGUGAAAGACGGUCUUGCUGUCACUUAUAGAUGGAUCCGCGCCGCAUUAGCUAGUUGGUAAGGUAACGGCUUACCAAGGCAACGAUGCGUAGCCGACCUGAGAGGGGGAUCGGCCACACUGGAACUGGGACACGGUCCCGACUCCUACGGGAGGCAGCAGUAGGGAAUCUUCCGCAAUGGGCGAAAGCCUGGCGGAGCAACGCCGCGUGAGUGAAGGAGGUCUUCGGAUCGUAAAACUCUGUUAUUAGGGAAGAACAAAUGUGUAAGUAACUAUGCACGUCUUGACGGUACCUAAUCAGAAAGCCACGGCUAACUACGUG
rnacentral:rRNA from 1 species